GGGAGAGAGAAAGAGGAAGAAGAGCACAAGAAAUAUGUGUAUGCUUUGAAAGGGAGGAAAGGAUCCCAUCCACAACCAGAACCAGGAGGGCUUCUUCUUUGUGAAUGGUUCACUCCUCCUCCUCCUCAUUUUCAACUACAACACCACAACAACAAACACAACUAGAUCAACAACAACAACAACAAGAGCAAUGGCUGCUUCUACUUCUCCUUGUCUCUCUUCUAAUGACAAGAAGCACUGGUGGCUUAGCACUCGAAAGAUUGUGGACAAGUAUAUCAGAGACGCCAGAAGCUUGAUUGCUAGUCAUGAACACAGCGAGAUCGCCUCCGCUGUGGGACUACUAGACGCCGCCUUGGAAAUCUCACCGCGGUUUGAACUAGCCUUGGAACUCAAAGCCAGGUCUCUGCUCUUUCUCGGCCGAUUCAAGGACGUCGCCGAUAUGCUCCAGGACUACAUUCCCAGCCUCAAAAUCGCAAUCGAGGACUCCUCCGGCUCAGCCGACUCUUCGUCUCAGAAUCUGUCGAGGGAGCGAGUCAAGCUGCUUAACAGCAGCAACUCCUCUUCCGACUCGCUGUGUCAGGAUCCAUCCUUCAAGUGCUUCUCCAUUUCCGACUUGAAGAAGAAAGUCAUGGCAGGCCUCUGCAAAAAUGGCGACAAGGAAGGGCAAUGGAGGUACUUGGUUCUGGGGCAGGCUUGCUGCCAUUUGGGACUCAUGGAGGAUGCCAUGGCCCUCCUCCAAACUGGGAAACGCCUUGCUGCUGCCGCAUUCCGCCGCGAGAGCACUAGCUUAACCGACGACAGUUUCUCCUUCCCCAAUUUUUCAACAACACUUCCUCCUCCUCCUCCAACAAUGCACCCUCAACGCCGCCGCGGACCAUAACUGAGACUGAGACCGUCACACACCUCCUCAGCCAUAUCAAGCAGCUCCUCCGCCGCAGAACUGCUGCCCUCGCUGCCCUUGAAGUUGGUGCAUACUCGGAGUCCAUCCGCCACUUCAGUAAAAUCCUGGACGGCCGGCGAGGUGCACCCCAGGGAUUCCUGGCCGAGUGCUACAUGCAGCGCGCCUCAGCGUACAGGGCUACGGGUCGGAUAGCGGAGGCCAUUGCCGAUUGUAAUCGGACUUUGGCCCUUGACCCCAGUUGUAUACAAGCAUUAGACACAAGAGCUGCACUUCUUGAAACAAUAAGGUGUUUGCCAGAUUGCUUGCACGAUCUAGAACACUUGAAGCUUUUGUACAAUUCAAUUUUGAGGGACCGGAAGCUUCCCGGUCCGACGUGGAAACGACACAACAAUGUAAGGUACAGAGAGAUUCCUGGGAAAUUAUGUGUUCUGACGACCAAAAUACAAGAACUGAAACAGAGGGUGGCUUCGGGAGAAACAGGAAAUGUGGAUUACUAUGCUUUGAUCGGUUUAAGAAGAGGGUGUUCCAGGUCCGAGUUAGACAAAGCUUAUUUAUUACUGUGUUUGAGGCACAAGCCUGAUAAGGCUACAGUUUUCAUAGAUCGUUGUGAGCUAGCUGAUGAUCGCGAUAUUGAUUCGGUAAGAGACAGAGCCAAGCUAUCUGCAUUGUUGCUUUACAGAUUGCUUCAGAAAGGUUAUUCUAGUUUGAGCACCACCAUUAUGGACGAAGAGGCUGCCGAGAAACAGAGAAAGAAGGCUGCAGCUGCACUCCAAGCAGCUCAAGCCCAAGCACAGGCUCAAGCUCAAGCUCAGGCCGCGCAGGCUGCGGCAGCGGCUGCAAUUCAAAUCCAACAAACCCAAGAAGCCAUGAUUGAAUUCGAAUCCACUUCCUCAAAUUUGAACUCAAAUAGUAAUAGGAUGGUUCAUUCAUCCGAAGCGAAAGCCUUCCAAGGCGUGUUCUGCAGAGACAUUGCAGUGGUUGGGAAUUUGUUGUCGCAGGUUGGGUUUAACCGCCCAAUUACAGUCAAGUACGAGGCAUUGAGCUGCUGAGCAGCUGAUGCUGCAUAAAUUAGAAACGUUGGAGAUUCACCGGCGGGGCAAUGGUCUUAUCUUGGCUUCAUUUUGUACAAAGAAAAAAGAAAAUUGGAAGACGUUGCCGGGAAAUUUUGUCACUCUUUUCCCAUUUUGCUUAUCUACUAUUACUACUACUAGUUAAGUUAAAUCUACCCUUUUUACUAUUGUACAUAAUUUUCUACUUCCGAUCAGGAUUAUGGCUUUAGUUUAAAAUUCAUUCCAGGCGUUCUGUUUUCGUUAUUUCCUUGUAUACAUCUUCAUAAUUAGUCCUGAAUUAAUUUGGAGCAAU